GAGCGGUGACAGGUGUAGCAAUACGUGCUGACGAGCGGCGAACGGGUGAGUAAUGCUUCGGAAUCUGCCCAAUGGUGGGGGAUAACCAGCCGAAAGGUUGGCUAAUACCGCAUACGUCCUACGGGAGAAAGCGGGGGAUCGCAAGACCUCGCGCGGUUGGAUGGACCGAUGUUCGAUUAGCUAGUUGGUAGGGUAAUGGCCUACCAAGGCGACGAUCGAUAGCUGGUCUGAGAGGAUGAUCAGCCACACUGGGACUGAGACACGGCCCAGACUCCUACGGGAGGCAGCAGUGGGGAAUAUUGGACAAUGGGCGCAAGCCUGAUCCAGCAAUGCCGCGUGUGUGAAGAAGGCCUUCGGGUUGUAAAGCACUUUUAUCAGGAGCGAAAUACUACCGGCUAAUACCCGGUGGGGCUGACGGUAUCCUGAGGAAUAAGCACCGGCUAACUUCGUGCCAGCAGCCGCGGUAAU
rnacentral:rRNA from 1 species